GAUGAACGCUAGCGGGAGGCUUAACACAUGCAAGUCGAGGGGCAGCACGAGUCCGCCGCAAGGCGGAUUUGGUGGCGACCGGCGCACGGGUGAGUAACACGUAUGCAACCUACCCUGUACUGGGGGAUAACCCGGAGAAAUUCGGACUAAUAUCCCAUUAUGAUAUUGAAGGGCAUCCUUUAAUAUUUAAAGCUCAGGCGGUACGGGAUGGGCAUGCGCAACAUUAGCUAGUUGGCAGGGUAACGGCCUACCAAGGCUACGAUGUUUAGGGGACCUGAGAGGGUGAUCCCCCACACUGGUACUGAGACACGGACCAGACUCCUACGGGUGGCAG
rnacentral:rRNA from 1 species